rnacentral:rRNA from 1 species
UGUCCACUAAUUAUGGACUAGCAUGAAAGGCAAAAUGAGGGUUUAACUGUCUCUUAUAGUAAAUCAAUUAAACUGAUCUACCAGUAAAAAAGCUGGAAUAAACACACAAGACCAGAAGACCCUGUGAAGCUUAAACUAAACUAUUAAAACACAUAAUAACUACUUUUGGUUGGGGCGACCUUGGAAAAAAAACAACUUCCAAACUAGUGAUAAUCAAUCACCACCAGGCCAACAAGCCACAUAUGACCCAGCACACCUGAUAACUGAACCAAGUUACUCCAGGGAUAACAGCGCCAUCUUCUUCAAGAGUCCAUAUCAAAAAGAAGGUUUACGACCUCGAUGUUGGAUCAGGACAUCCUAAUGGUGUA